AUUGAACGCUGGCGGAAUGCUUUACACAUGCAAGUCGAACGGUAGAGGGGGCAACCCCUUGAGAGUGGCGAACGGGUGAGUAAUAUAUCGGAACGUGCCCAGUCGUGGGGGAUAACGUAGUGAAAAUUACGCUAAUACCGCAUACGAUCUAAGGAUGAAAGCGGGAGAUCGCAAGACCUCGCGCGAUUGGAGCGGCCGAUAUCAGAUUAGGUAGUUGGUGGGGUAAAGGCCCACCAAGCCAACGAUCUGUAGCUGGUCUGAGAGGACGACCAGCCACACUGGAACUGAGACACGGUACAGACUCCUACGGGAGGCAGCAGUGGGGAAUUUUGGACAAUGGGCGAAAGCCUGAUCCAGCCAUUCCGCGUGCAGGAUGAAGGCCCUCGGGUUGUAAACUGCUUUUGUACAGAACGAAAAGGUUUCUACUAAUACUAGGAGCUCAUGACGGUACUGUAAGAAUAAGGUCCGGCCAACUACGUGCCAGCCGCCGCAGUAAUAC
rnacentral:rRNA from 1 species